rnacentral:rRNA from 1 species
UAGUGAAUCUUCGGCAAUGGACGACAGUCUGACCGAGCAACGCCGCGUGAGUGAAGAAGGUUUUCGGAUCGUAAAACUCUGUUGUUAGAGAAGAACAAGGACGUUAGUAACUGAACGUCCCCUGAUGGUAUCUAACCAGAAAGCCACGGCUAACUAUGUGCCAGCAGCCGCGGUAAUACGUAGGUGGCAAGCGUUGUCCGGAUUUAUUGGGCGUAAAGCGAGCGCAGGAGGUUUCUUAAGUCUGAUGUGAAAGCCCCCGGCUCAACCGGGGAGGGUCAUUGGAAACUGGGAGACUUGAGAGCAGAAGGGGAGAGUGGAAUUCCAUGUGUAGCGGUGAAAUGCGUGGAUAUAUGGAGGAACACCAGUGGCGAAGGCGGCUCUCUGGUCUGUAACUGACGCUGAGGCUCGAAAGCGUGGGGAGCAAACAGG